UUCAUCAUCAUCAUGUUCUCUGUAGUUCUGCUGCUUCUGGCUGCUGGAUCCUGUGUGAAGUGUGAACAGCUGACACAACCAGACUCUGUGAGUCUGCAGCCAGGUCAGAGACUGACCAUCACCUGUCAGGUCUCUUAUUCUGUGAGCAGCUACUACACAGCUUGGAUCAGACAGCCUGCAGGGAAAGGACUGGAGUGGAUUGGUAGUGAACGUGUUGGGAGCACCAAAUACUACGAAGAUUCACUGAAGAACAAGUUCAGUAUGACUUUGGACUCUUCCAACAACAGAGUGACUCUAAAUGGACAGAACAUGCAGCCUGAAGACACUGCUGUGUAUUUCUGUGCCAGAGAGUCACAGUGA